UACAGAGGGGGCAAGCGUUAUUCGGAAUUAUUGGGCGUAAAGGGCGCGUAGGCGGCUUUUCAAGUGACGGGUGAAAUCCCUCGGCUUAACCGAGGAACUGCCUGUCAGACUGGAAGGCUUGAGACCGGGAGAGGUGAGUGGAAUUCCCAGUGUAGCGGUGAAAUGCGUAGAUAUUCGGAAGAACACCAGUGGCGAAGGCGGCUCACUGGACCGGCAUUGACGCUGAGGUGCGAAAGCGUGGGGAGCAAACAGG
rnacentral:rRNA from 1 species